UUAUAAACCUGAUUGCAGUGGAAACCAAAAGCUUUUUCUGCUUUUGUUGCAACGGAAAGCAGGAACAAAC
rnacentral:sRNA from 1 species